AGGGGCAGCAUGGACUUAGCUUGCUAAGUCCGAUGGCGACCGGCGCACGGGUGAGUAACGCGUAUCCAACCUCCCGCUUACUCGGGAAUAGCCUUUCGAAAGAAAGAUUAAUACCCGAUGGUAUCUUACGCGCACAUGCAAAUAAGAUUAAAGAUUUAUCGGUAAGCGAUGGGGAUGCGUUCCAUUAGAUAGUAGGCGGGGUAACGGCCCACCUAGUCUACGAUGGAUAGGGGUUCUGAGAGGAAGGUCCCCCACAUUGGAACUGAGACACGGUCCAAACUCCUACGGGAGGCAGCAGUGAGGAAUAUUGGUCAAUGGGCGCGAGCCUGAACCAGCCAAGUAGCGUGAAGGAUGAAGGUCCUACGGAUUGUAAACUUCUUUUAUAAGGGAAUAAAGUCACCCACGUGUGGGUGUUUGUAUGUACCUUAUGAAUAAGCAUCGGCUAACUCCGUGCCAGCAGCCGCGGUAAUACGGAGGAUGCGAGCGUUAUCCGGAUUUA
rnacentral:rRNA from 1 species